GCUGGCUUAGCUCAUCGGGCAGAGCGCUCGCCUUGUAAGCGAGAGGCGGGAGGUUCGAGGCCUCCAGCCAGCACCA
rnacentral:tRNA from 1 species